UACGUAGGGCGCAAGCGUUGUUCGGAAUUACUGGGCGUAAAGGGCCAGUAGGCGGCCAACUAAGUCGGAUGUGAAAUCCCCAGGCUUAACCUGGGAACUGCAUCCGAUACUGGAUGGCUUGAAUUCGGGAGAGGGAUGCAGAAUUCCAGGUGUAGCGGUGAAAUGCGUAGAUAUCUGGAGGAAUACCGGUGGCGAAGGCGGCAUCCUGGACCGACAUUGACGCUGAACGGCGAAAGCUAGGGGAG
rnacentral:rRNA from 1 species